ACUGACCCUGCAUGUCCUUUAAAAUUAAUUCACCUGCUCUUUGAAGGCAAAUCUAUUAUUUGUUGCCCUGCAAUAAAUUUUGUUCGGGCUGCAUGUGAAGUCUGUGAUUGGACAGUCACAGAAAGUCUGGGCUGGGUUAGAAGUGGAGAGCUUGCAGUAGCUGCAGUGGGAAGUCUGUGAUUGGACAGUCACAGAAAGUCUGGGCGGGGUUAGAAGGGGAGGGUUUGCAAGGGUUGCAGACAAAAGAUCUGGGCAGUUGCUGUCUCUUGAGUUUUUUUCCACUAAUCUAAACAAAACAGGAAAUAAC